rnacentral:rRNA from 1 species
CUUGUUGGUGAGGUAAUGGCUCACCAAGGCCGCGAUCCGUAGCUGGUCUGAGAGGAUGAUCAGCCACACCGGGACUGAGACACGGCCCGGACUCCUACGGGAGGCAGCAGUGGGGAAUAUUGGACAAUGGGGGAAACCCUGAUCCAGCCAUGCCGCGUGUGUGAAGAAGGCCUUCGGGUUGUAAAGCACUUUCAGUGGGGAAGAAGGCAUGCCGAUUAAUACCCGGCAUGAAGGACAUCACCCACAGAAGAAGCACCGGCUAACUCCGUGCCAGCAGCCGCGGUAAUACGGAGGGUGCAAGCGUUAAUCGGAAUUACUGGGCGUAAAGGGCGCGUAGGCGGCUUGCCAAGCCGGAUGUGAAAGCCCCGGGCUCAACCCGGGAACGGCAUUCGGAACUGGCAGGCUAGAGUGCAGGAGAGGAAGGUGGAAUUCCCGGUGUAGCGGUGAAAUGCGUAGAGAUCGGGAGGAAUACCAGUGGGGAAGGCGCCGUUAUGUACUGACACUGACGCUGAGGCGCGAAAGCGUGGGUAGCAAACAGGAUUAGAUACCCUGGUAGUUCACACCGU